GACAGAGGGUGCAAACGUUGUUCGGAUUUACUGGGCGUAAAGGGCGCGUAGGCGGCACCGCAAGUCGACUGUGAAAUCUCCGGGCGUAACUCGGAAAGGUCAGCCGAUACUGCGGGGCUAGAGUGCAGAAGGGGCAACUGGAAUUCUCGGUGUAGCGGUGAAAUGCGUAGAUAUCGAGAGGAACACCUGCGGCGAAGGCGGGUUGCUGGGCUGACACUGACGCUGAUGCGCGAAAGCUAGGGGAGCGGACGGG
rnacentral:rRNA from 1 species